CGAUCUGAGUAUGACCAAGGACAAGGAAUCAGAACCGGCGACUGACAGUCCAGAGAAAGAGAAUGCGGAAAACCUUCUAGUCCAUAGCUCCUGAAGAAAAACGAGCUGAAGCGAAUAUGGAGAAACAGCUUCCUCCACGGAAAAUGCAGAGGCAUGCAACGCGGCGGAUGCAAGUUUGCUAAUUGAAAUUAUUCGCAAAGAUCUAGUAGAAUUAAAACUGGAGGUGCUGCGAAACGAUCCUUUUUCGACGCUAUACUCGGUUAAAACUAUCGACGCUUUGCACCUGAUGCCGGAACUGCCCACCCCGAGAGCAGAUGAGCGCUGGGGAAUGUUUUCAGCCACCUGGAAGAGGAAGUUCAGCGCGGAAGAAAUGUUACCAGACUUCGCCGAUCUGGUAUCUGGACUUCUUUGAUGAUCUCAUAGAGAUUGGGUGUGCAGAUGGGCGGUUAGAGUUCUGGGAGGGAACGACUGGUAACUUUAAGGGUAUAUAUGAAGCCGAAAACAUGGGGUAACUAACAUAAAGCUAGCCGGUGACAAAGUGUUAGUCGCACGGUUGAGUGGACGAAUCGAUUCUCUGAGACUAGAAACGUACACGCAAAGUUGUCAGAUCGAUUUUGGUUUACGUCUGCAUAUGGGCGAACCCACGUACGCACCGAUUCGGCAGGAAGCAUUAGUUUAUUUCGGCAAACCGUCCACAGCAUUGCCAGCUCAACAUAACGCAUCCGAGGAGGAGCUUCGAUGUAUUCUGGAGUUUCACCAGCAGGGUUACCGGUGACAUAUUUGGAAGUGGCGGGCGGUACAGUCAUGACUGGCAGCCAGGGUCACACUGUUAAAGUGUUCCGACUCGAUAGGCACCUAUUGCAGUUCACCCUAAACGGCCAUUGCGGUCCUAUCACAUGUAUUUUCAUAGACCAGUGGUAGGCCGAGAUGGGCGCAUCUGGUCGCCAGGAUGGUGUGUGUGGGGCUUGAACUAGAACAGCUCCUACAUGGUUACGAGAGUGUUCAGCAGGCCGUUGGUAAGGGAGUGGAUAAUUUUUAUAGUGUCGAUUGUUGAUAACAGGGCCAUUUAAUGGCUCCGCAAUUAAAUAUAGAAAGUUACUAAAUACAUUUUG